rnacentral:rRNA from 1 species
GACGAACGCUGGCGGCGUGCUUAACACAUGCAAGUCGAACGGAAAGGCCCUGCUUUUGUGGGGUGCUCGAGUGGCGAACGGGUGAGUAACCCGUGAGUAACCUGCCCUGGACUUUGUGAUAACUUCAGGAAACUGGGGCUAAUACCGGAUAGGAGCGCCUGCUGCAUGGUGGGGGUUGGAAAGCUUCGGCGGUUGGGGAUGGACUGGCGGCUUAUCAGCUUGUUGGUGGGGUAGUGGCUUACCAAGGCUUUGACGGGUAGCCGGCAUGGGAGGGUGACCAGCCACCAUGGGACUGAGAGACGGCCCAGACUCCUACGGGAGGCAGCAGUGGGGAAUAUUGCACAAUGGGCGGAAGCCUGAGGAAGCAACGCUGCGUGCGGGAUGACGGCCUUCGGGUUGUAAACCGCUUUCGCCUGUGACGAAGCGUGAGUGGCGGUAAUGGGUAAAGAAGCACCGGCUAACUACGUG